UACGAAGGGUGCAAGCGUUAAUCGGAAUUACUGGGCGUAAAGCGUGCGUAGGCGGUGAUUUAAGUCUGCUGUGAAAUCCCCGGGCUCAACCUGGGAAUGGCAGUGGAUACUGGAUCGCUAGAGUGUGAUAGAGGAUGGUGGAAUUCCCGGUGUAGCGGUGAAAUGCGUAGAGAUCGGGAGGAACAUCAGUGGCGAAGGCGGCCAUCUGGAUCAACACUGACGCUGAGGCACGAAAGCGUGGGGAGCGAACAGG
rnacentral:rRNA from 1 species